AGCUUGCUUCUCUUGAGAGCGGCGGACGGGUGAGUAAUGCCUAGGAAUCUGCCUGGUAGUGGGGGAUAACGUUCGGAAACGGACGCUAAUACCGCAUACGUCCUACGGGAGAAAGCAGGGGACCUUCGGGCCUUGCGCUAUCAGAUGAGCCUAGGUCGGAUUAGCUAGUUGGUGGGGUAAUGGCUCACCAAGGCGACGAUCCGUAACUGGUCUGAGAGGAUGAUCAGUCACACUGGAACUGAGACACGGUCCAGACUCCUACGGGAGGCAGCAGUGGGGAAUAUUGGACAAUGGGCGAAAGCCUGAUCCAGCCAUGCCGCGUGUGUGAAGAAGGUCUUCGGAUUGUAAAGCACUUUAAGUUGGGAGGAAGGGCAGUAAAUUAAUACUUUGCUGUUUUGACGUUACCGACAGAAUAAGCACCGGCUAACUCUGUGCCAGCAGCCGCGGUAAUACAGAGGGUGCAAGCGUUAAUCGGAAUUACUGGGCGUAAAGCGCGCGUAGGUGGUUCGUUAAGUUGGAUGUGAAAUCCCCGGGCUCAACCUGGGAACUGCAUUCAAAACUGACGAGCUAGAGUAUGGUAGAGGGUGGUGGAAUUUCCUGUGUAGCGGUGAAAUGCGUAGAUAUAGGAAGGAACACCAGUGGCGAAGGCGACCACCUGGACUGAUACUGACACUGAGGUGCGAAAGCGUGGGGAGCAAACA
rnacentral:rRNA from 1 species